AGUGUGAGGUAGGCGGAAUGCGUUGUGUAGCGGUGAAAUGCAUAGAUAUGACGCAGAACUCCGAUUGCGAAGGCAGCUUACCAACACUUUACGGACGCUGAGGCACGAAAGCGUGGGUAUCGAACAGGAUUAGAUACCCUAGUAGUCCACGCAGUAAACGAUGAAUACUAAUUGUUCGGGGGGCAACCCCUGAGUGAUACAGCGAAAGCGUUAAGUAUUCCACCUGGGGAGUACGCCGGCAACGGUGAAACUCAAAGGAAUUGACGGGGGCCCGCACAAGCGGAGGAACAUGUGGUUUAAUUCGAUGAUACGCGAGGAACCUUACCCGGGCUCAAACGUUGGGGGAAUGCUCCUGAAAGGGAGCAGCCAGCAAUGGUCGCCAACGAGGUGCUGCAUGGUUGUCGUCAGCUCGUGCCGUGAGGUGUCGGCUUAAGUGCCAUAACGAGCGCAACCCCUGCGUCCAGUUACCAUCAAGUAAAGUUGGGGACUCUGGACGGACUGCCGGCGCAAGCCGUGAGGAAGGCGGGGAUGACGUCAAAUCAGCACGGCCCUUACGUCCGGGGCGACACACGUGUUACAAUGGCGUGGAACAGCGGGAAGCCACCUGGCGACAGGGAGCGGACCCCUAAAACACGUCUCAGUUCGGAUUGGAGUCUGCAACUCGACUCCAUGAAGCUGGAUUCGCUAGUAAUCGCGCGUCAGCCAUGGCGCGGUGAAUACGUUCCCGGGCCUUGUACACACCGCCCGUCAAGCCAUGGGAGCCGGGAGUGCCUGAAGUACGUAACCGGAAGGAGCGUCCAAGGGUAACACUGGUGACUGGGGCUAAGUCGUAACAAGGUAACCA
rnacentral:rRNA from 1 species